CCAGAAAGGCAGAAUGGUUCCUUUGGCCUACCUUCCAGAUCUUCAGUACAGAUUAGUAUUUGCCUACUUGCCAGAGGCAAAUGGAAAUUGUACCAAGCGAAAUGAAUCAGCAACUAUUGCAUUUCCAGAGUUAGUGCAUUGCAGUGGCUGCUACAUCCUGGUAUACUGGACACUUGUCUUAUGGAAGAAUGUCAUGUAACUUUGAAGCCCUCAAGACUUCAGGCCAUUGACAGUGGUAGCCGAUGGAAUUGAUAGUGAUACGCAGCAGAAGCAAUGGUGCCUAUUAAGAGUGGCAGUGGAGGACGAAGAUGACACUCACCAAGACCCAGAGGAAGCAGAACUAGAGCCUGGCAGUCUGAAGCAGCAUGUGUGUGGCAGACACAGAGGUACCCAGCAAAGGCGGUCACUGGCUGAACUUGUCUAUGAAUGCAUGUGAGGCCCCAUCUGAGGACUCCCAGAGAUAUUUUGAGGGAAGAAAGGACUUUUGAAGAACACUAGUAGGAAGAUUAGCCUGAGCUAACAUCUGCUGCCCAUCCUCCUCUCUUUCCUGAGGAAGACUGGCCCUGAGCUAACAUCUGUGCCCAUCUUCCUCUACUUUAUAUGUAGGACACCUACCACAGUUUGGCUUGCCAAGCGGUGCCAUGUCCACACCCAGGAUCUGAA
rnacentral:lncRNA from 1 species